rnacentral:rRNA from 1 species
AUUGAACGCUGGCGGCAUGCCUUACACAUGCAAGUCGAACGGUAACAGGUUAAGCUGACGAGUGGCGAACGGGUGAGUAAUGUAUCGGAACGUGCCCAGUCGUGGGGGAUAACUGCUCGAAAGAGCAGCUAAUACCGCAUACGACCUGAGGGUGGAAGCGGGGGAUCGCAAGACCUCGCGCGAUUGGAGCGGCCGAUAUCAGAUUAGGUAGUUGGUGAGGUAAAGGCUCACCAAGCCGACGAUCUGUAGCUGGUCUGAGAGGACGACCAGCCACACUGGGACUGAGACACGGCCCAGACUCCUACGGGAGGCAGCAGUGGGGAAUUUUGGACAAUGGGCGCAAGCCUGAUCCAGCCAUGCCGCGUGCGGGAAGAAGGCCUUCGGGUUGUAAACCGCUUUUGUCAGGGAAGAAAAGGUUCUGGCUAAUACCUGGGACUCAUGACGGUACCUGAAGAAUAAGCACCGGCUAACUACGUG